rnacentral:rRNA from 1 species
UACGUAGGGGGCAAGCGUUGUCCGGAAUUAUUGGGCGUAAAGAGCUCGUAGGCGGUCUGUUACGUCUGCUGUGAAAACCCAGGGCUUAACCCUGGGCUUGCAGUGGAUACGGGCAGACUAGAGGCAGGUAGGGGAGAAUGGAAUUCCCGGUGUAGCGGUGAAAUGCGCAGAUAUCGGGAGGAACACCGGUGGCGAAGGCGGUUCUCUGGGCCUGAACUGACGCUGAGGAGCGAAAGCGUGGGGAGCGAACAGG